AUGAACGCUAGCUACAGGCUUAACACAUGCAAGUCGAGGGGCAGCAUGGUCUUAGCUUGCUAAGGCCGAUGGCGACCGGCGCACGGGUGAGUAACACGUAUCCAACCUGCCGUCUACUCUUGGACAGCCUUCUGAAAGGAAGAUUAAUACAAGAUGGCAUCAUGAGUCCGCAUGUUCACAUGAUUAAAGGUAUUCCGGUAGACGAUGGGGAUGCGUUCCAUUAGAUAGUAGGCGGGGUAACGGCCCACCUAGUCUUCGAUGGAUAGGGGUUCUGAGAGGAAGGUCCCCCACAUUGGAACUGAGACACGGUCCAAACUCCUACGGGAGGCAGCAGUGAGGAAUAUUGGUCAAUGGGCGAGAGCCUGAACCAGCCAAGUAGCGUGAAGGAUGACUGCCCUAUGGGUUGUAAACUUCUUUUAUAAAGGAAUAAAGUCGGGUAUGCAUACCCGUUUGCAUGUACUUUAUGAAUAAGGAUCGGCUAACUCCGUGCCAGCAGCCGCGGUAAUACGGAGGAUCCGAGCGUUAUCCGGAUUUAUUGGGUUUAAAGGGAGCGUAGAUGGAUGUUUAAGUCAGUUGUGAAAGUUUGCGGCUCAACCGUAAAAUUGCAGUUGAUACUGGAUAUCUUGAGUGCAGUUGAGGCAGGCGGAAUUCGUGGUGUAGCGGUGAAAUGCUUAGAUAUCACGAAGAACUCCGAUUGCGAAGGCAGCCUGCUAAGCUGCAACUGACAUUGAGGCUCGAAAGUGUGGGUAUCAAACAGGAUUAGAUACCCUGGUAGUCCACACGGUAAACGAUGAAUACUCGCUGUUUGCGAUAUACAGCAAGCGGCCAAGCGAAAGCGUUAAGUAUUCCACCUGGGGAGUACGCCGGCAACGGUGAAACUCAAAGGAAUUGACGGGGGCCCGCACAAGCGGAGGAACAUGUGGUUUAAUUCGAUGAUACGCGAGGAACCUUACCCGGGCUUAAAUUGCAGAUGAAUUACGGUGAAAGCCGUAAGCCGCAAGGCAUCUGUGAAGGUGCUGCAUGGUUGUCGUCAGCUCGUGCCGUGAGGUGUCGGCUUAAGUGCCAUAACGAGCGCAACCCUUGUUGUCAGUUACUAACAGGUUCUGCUGAGGACUCUGACAAGACUGCCAUCGUAAGAUGUGAGGAAGGUGGGGAUGACGUCAAAUCAGCACGGCCCUUACGUCCGGGGCUACACACGUGUUACAAUGGGGGGUACAGAGGGUCGCUACUACGCGAGUGGAUGCCAAUCCCAAAAACCUCUCUCAGUUCGGACUGGAGUCUGCAACCCGACUCCACGAAGCUGGAUUCGCUAGUAAUCGCGCAUCAGCCACGGCGCGGUGAAUACGUUCCCGGGCCUUGUACACACCGCCCGUCAAGCCAUGGGAGCCGGGGGUACCUGAAGUGCGUAACCGCGAGGAGCGCCCUAGGGUAAAACUGGUGAUUGGGGCU
rnacentral:rRNA from 1 species